AACUGGCUGUUGGGCAGAUAAUCGCUAUCAUGAGAGCUAUGUAGUGGAGACAGCAUACCGUGAUCAAGGAGAUGAUGAACUUAAUGAGGGUUUCACAUACGAGGAGCUUCUCAACAUGCAAAAAACGCGAUGAAACAUAUCAAAAUCAAGCAGCAGUUGCUUGGGAAAGAACACGCUUCAGCCAUCCGAUCGACAGGGACAGCUGUCCAUCGAU
rnacentral:lncRNA from 1 species